CUAGCCCUAAACCCAAAUAGUUACAUAACAAAACUAUUCGCCAGAGUACUACUCGCAACUGCCUAAAACUCAAAGGACUUGGCGGUGCUUCACAUCCACCUAGAGGAGCCUGUUCUAUAAUCGAUAAACCCCGAUAGACCUUACCAACCCUUGCCAAUUCAGCCUAUAUACCGCCAUCUUCAGCAAACCCUAAAAAGGAACAAUAGUAAGCACAAUCAUAGCACAUAAAAACGUUAGGUCAAGGUGUAGCUUAUGGGUUGGAAAGAANUGGGCUACANNUUCUACAUAAG
rnacentral:rRNA from 1 species